rnacentral:lncRNA from 10 species
CUUUAGAUCAUUAACAUUUAAUAUGGUCAUAAAUAUGUUUUGAUUAAACUCUGCCUACUUGCUAGAUGUUUUCUAUUUGUUCCUUUUGUUCUUUACUUCUUUUCCCUCUUUCCUGCUGCAUGGAGAGCAGCAGGAUCCUGGGCCUGGCCCAGAAAACCAUUUUUCUCUUCUAGGUUUUCUGGCCUGUGAUGGGAGGGGCUGCUGUGAAUGUCUCUGACAUGCCCUGGAGACAGUUUCCCCAUUGUCUUGGUGAUUAACAUUCUGUUCCUCAUUACUUAUGCAAAUUUCUACAGUGGGCUUGGAUUUCUUCUCAUAAAACGGCGUUUUCUUUUCUAUUGCAUCAUCAGGCUGCAAAUUUUCUAAACUUUUAUACUCUUCUUUCUCUUGAAUGCUUCGCCACAUAGAAAUUUCUUCUGCCAGAUACCCUAAAUCAUAUCUCUCAAGUUCAAAGUUCCACAGAUCUCUAGGUGAGGAGCAAAAUAGUACCAGUCUCUUUGCUAAAGCAUAGUAAGAGUCACCUUUGCUCCAGUUCAGAAGAAUUUUCUCAUCUCCACCUGAGAUUGCCUCAUCCUGGACUUCAUUGUCCAUAUCAUUGUCAGCAUUUUGGUCAAAAGCAUUCAACAAGUCUCUAGGAAGUUUCAAACUUUUCCACAUCUUCCUGUCUUCUGAGCCCUCCAAGUCUAUAGGAAGUUCCAAACUUUCCCACAUUUUCCUGUCUUCUUCUGAGCCCUCCAAACCUUUCAAACCUCUUUCUGUUACUCAGUUCCAAAGUUGCUUCUAUAUUUUUGAGGAUCUUUAUAGUAAUACCCCACUCUCUGCAGUAGUACCAAUUUACUGUAUUAGUCUGUUCUCACACUGCUAUAUAGAAAUUCCUCAGACUGGGUAAUUUAUAAAGGAAAGAGGUUUAAUUGACUCACAGUUCAGCAUUGCUGUGGAGGCCUCAGGAAACUUACAAUCAUGGUGGAAGGCACCUCUUCUCAGGGCGGCAGCAGAGAGAAUUAGUGCCAGCAGGGGAAAUGCCAGAUGCUUAUAAAACCAUCAGAUCUCAUGAGAAGUCACUCUCAUAAGAACAGCAUGGGGGAAUCCACCCCUGUGAUUCAAUGACCUCCCCCAGGUCCCUCCCACAACAUGUGGGGAUUAUUACAAUUCAAGUUGAGAUUUGGGUGGGGACACAGAGCCAAACCAUAUAACCCAGGAACCGAGCUAGUUAACAGCAGAAACGUAGUAAAUAUUUCUUGAAUAAAUAAAAACACAGAAAAGAGAAAGCCUAAUUGACAGAGCAGGAAGAAAUGAUUUAUAGGGAAUAUAUCAUAAAGCGUAUUUUCCAGAAAGACAAAGAAUAGAGGAUAAUCUUUAGACUAGAGGCAAUCGAUGCUUUUAAAAUUUCAUUUAUUAAGGGUCAAGAAACUGUUUAUGAUAACAUUAGUAGAGAUUUCAUCUUAUGGUGUUUCUAUUUCAUUCAUACAAGCAGAGUCUGUAAGAACUACAACAUGCUUUUAGCAGCUAAUAUAUUAAUAGGAUGCAGGGUCAAAAUAUAUAUGUAGAUUUCAACAUGCUACAAUUGUUUCUCUGUGUUAAGCUUAAAAUGCAUAUGCUCUGGGGUCAGCUGGAGCAAACCCCAGAACUGCAGUUGGCACUGCUGGUCCAUGGUAUGAGUAUUAUAAGACAUGUACAACAGACUGAUGAAUAAGGAUGGAAGCUCCUGUAGGCUGAGAAAUAUACAAUAUUUCAAAGUGGAUUGGUUUAGGUCAGAGUAUUUGUUCUGUUUUACAUGAUAUAAAAGGAAAAACAUUUCUUCAUUUCACAUGGGAUAUAGUAUCCUGCAAUUUUAUCCUCAGUAUAAAGCUUCAGCAAACUGUAAUUCCCAGGUUGGCAUGACUUCAGUGGGUACUGACUUACUGAAGAAGAGACUUUUUAAAAAGUUUUAUUUAUAUUUUCUGCACCACACUGUGAAGUGCCCCUGAUGCUUUGUUUCUCAAACGCAGGAUUAGAGCACAGAUGGGAGAAGAAAGGCACGAAAUUCUAUACUCUGAAACAUUCAGUCAAGAUUUAUAUUGUAUCUCUAGUUACCUGGUGCCUCUAUAAUACCCUUCAUUGGAGAAUUUCAAAGCCCAUAAAGCCUCACAGUUCUAUAAAUAGGUCAAAUUUAAAAACAAUUAUCUGAGGGAAGAUUAAUCAAGCUGCAUUGAAGGUGAAAUUAUAAUAAACAAAUAAAAAGAAGGGGCUUUUUUUGCCUGUUUGUUUGUUUUGUCAAUAAGAUCUAAUGUCAAAUAGAACUAAUCCAGUUUAGAAAGCAUCAAAGCCUUAGUUUUUUGUUUACUUCUUCUCAGCUCUAGUCCAGUUAGGCCAUUGGCAAUUAAGGGAAAAUACCAGUUUCUCUCUCAUGUGUCCUGCAUAUGUAUCCACAGUACAAAAUAAUCUCUACCACAACCACAUCAGAUACUUUUAUUUUUAGUUGGCCUUUUUAUACUUAACAUUUUGGUAAAUUAUAAUCUAACUCUGGCAUAAACAUAUUCUAAAAAUAUAAGACAGUAGCUAUCUCUCCAG